rnacentral:rRNA from 1 species
UACGGAAGGCAGCAGUGGGGAAUAUUGCACAAUGGGCGAAAGCCUGAUGCAGCUAUGCCGCGUGUAUGAAGAAGGCCUUAGGGUUGUAAAGUACUUUCAUCGGGGAGGAAAAACAAAACUAAUAAUUUUAUUUCUUGACGUUACCCGAAAAAGAAGCACCGGCUAACUCCGUGCCAGCAGCCGCGGUAAUACGGAGGGUGCUAGCGUUAAUCAGAAUUACUGGGCGUAAAGAGCACGUAGGUGGUUUUUUAAGUCAGAUGUGAAAUCCCUGGGCUUAACCUAGGAAUUGCAUUUUGAAACUGAAAUACUAGAGUAUCGUAGAGGGAGGUAGAAUUCUAGGUGUAGCGGUGAAAUGCGUAGAUAUCUGGAGGAAUACCUGUGGCGAAAGCGGCCUCCUAAACGAAUACUGACACUGAGGUGCGAAAGCGUGGGGAGCAAACAGGGAUUAGAUACC